AACUUAAAACUGCUGCAGAAGACAGCAACCCAGACAACACGAAAAUUCAAAAAAGAUAAGCUAACAAAAUCUUUAUGAAGUAAGACAAAAUAAACAAGAAUCGUAGGGCCAUCUGGAGUCAAAAGAACCAAAAACUGAGCUACACAAUUUUAAUAAAAUCAACUUCAAAAAAUAACAACCCAGACAACAUAAAACUAGGCUAACAAUAAAACCAAUUUCUCAUCGCCCUCAACUGAAUGGGUGCAGCAAGAUCAACAAAUAAGACUGGUUACUGCAAAAAUAAAUCCAUGAGACAUAACUGCUGCCAACAGUCCUUGAUAAAAAACCACGACUGAUAUCCAAAGUGUCUUCAAUUUUCAGAAUUACAGAAGUAAUGUAGCACCAAAUAAAAUGGCACCAUUAAGAUAAUUUAUGAAAUUGACAAAUCAAAGAUAAGCAGCAAUCACCCAAACUAAAAAUGAUCAGCACUUAUGCUCGUUAUAGAGUGCCACAAAAUCAGAUCUACGGUACAAACCCUGCUUAGCCAAGGGAAUCUGCCACCGAGUUUGCCUUUAAAGGAGACAGAGGGCAAAACACUCAGACUUUCAAGAAUUGACUUAAGAACAGAGUUAAAUCUCCAUGGAGCAAAUUCCAGGCAUUUAACCCACGAAAUUGCAUUUGUUGAAUCAGAUUCAAUUAUGAGAGGGUAAUCAUAACAACAUAGGCCGGGGAAAGUUGACGAGAGAUGAAGGGCCUUUUCGAUAGCCAUAACUUCAGCCAUGUUUGUGUCAUCCCAACCAGCAUGGCAGGAAAAGAUGCAAAUGAAAGAACCUGCACCAUCACGGAGAACCCCACCAAUUGAGCACUGCCCGACUUACCCAAAGAUGAUCCAUCCACAUUCCAUUUCCAAAAUCCAGAUAGUGGUGCUAUCCAACUAGUAGAGGAAUGAAUCCUACUAAGAUUUGUCCAUGAUUUUAUGCAGAAAGUUGUAACUAAGAGGUCUAUUGCAGAGAAAGAAAAGUCUAUAUCUAGUGCUUUCAUCCAAAUUGAUAGACGAUGGAGAAUAAGAACACAUAAAUCUGAAAAUGAUAAAUCCUCAUUUUUGAAAUUUUUUUUGAUCCUCGCCAACCAAAUGGACCUCAUGAU
rnacentral:misc_RNA from 1 species